GUGCUUCCUCAGUCCCCAGGCCCAGCACCUGCAGGGCCGACCAGCUCCAGUCCCAGGUCCAAUCCUGAGUGGCCAAAAGCCGGAAACCCGGAGUUGGAAUUGGAUCUUGCACAAGCUGGACCACGGAGUGAGGCUACUUGAGAAGCAUCUUAAAUGGGGAGAGAGAGCAAGUUAAAUCUGAUUUCCACGCAGCUCUGUGGAUUCCGAAUGUCCACAGUAUGAUGUUAUCUCCAUUCCCACUUCCGAGCCGCUCCUCUUCUGUGUUUCCUGCACCACCAUUCGCUCAGUUGCUCUACACUAAAAUUUGCUGUCAUCGUUGACUUCUCCCUCUCCUUCAUCCCCUACAAGUAUCAACAUAGACAACUCCGAUCAAUAUAAUCAUCAGUGAAUAAAGCAAAUUGCAGCGCAUAUUCUUAAAGACAAACUUUCCACUUGCAGCAGCACCUACCUUCCAGAUAGCUAAAUUGAAGCCCGUGUUUAUCAUAGCUGCUUCUAACCAGCCAGAGCUGAUAAUAACUAAGAACUUGCAGGAAUUGCAGUAUGCCAGACCUUCAAUUUAAUUGAAGACUUUCCUGAACAAUUAAUGAGACUUGUCUUAACCAGCAGGGAAUGGCUUUAGGGACUCAUUCUUCCCUAUGCAGGUGCAAGCCUCAAACCUUAAUUAGGAUCAUCCACCAUGAUCCUCGAGCCCUUCCCCACCUUAUACUUGAAGAGGCUGAACCUCAGAGAAUUAAAUUACCUACAGUCCUGGUCACUGGUAGAGCUAUUAUUUAAAGUAAGGUCUAAUGUCAAAGCCUGCGUCCUUAAUUCUACCAUAUGCUGCUUCUUGCAGUGUCGUUCCUCAACCAGAACACAUAGCUCUUCUGUGUAGGUAAAGUCCAUCAAAACAUGUCAUAAAAUAAAUUAAAGAAAUUGG
rnacentral:lncRNA from 1 species